rnacentral:rRNA from 1 species
GAUGAACGCUGGCGGCGUGCCUAAUACAUGCAAGUAGAACGCUGAAGCUUGGUGCUUGCACCGAGCGGAUGAGUUGCGAACGGGUGAGUAACGCGUAGGUAACCUGCCUCUUAGCGGGGGAUAACUAUUGGAAACGAUAGCUAAUACCGCACAAAAGUCGAUAUCGCAUGAUAUUGAUUUGAAAGGUGCAAAUGCAUCACUAAGAGAUGGACCUGCGUUGUAUUAGCUAGUUGGUGAGGUAACGGCUCACCAAGGCGACGAUACAUAGCCGACCUGAGAGGGUGAUCGGCCACACUGGGACUGAGACACGGCCCAGACUCCUACGGGAGGCAGCAGUAGGGAAUCUUCGGCAAUGGGGGCAACCCUGACCGAGCAACGCCGCGUGAGUGAAGAAGGUUUUCGGAUCGUAAAGCUCUGUUGUAAGAGAAGAACGAGUGUGAGAGUGGAAAGUUCACACUGUGACGGUAACUUACCAGAAAGGGACGGCUAACUACGUG